rnacentral:lncRNA from 1 species
AAUUGAUAUAGAAAAUAUUUAUUUGUGAAAGUACAAGAAUAGAAAUAACACACCACCUUCACAUUUGUACAUUUAAUACAUAUUACACAUACUUAAAAUGUGAAAUUUAUCGUAGAAAAAGAUUUGAUUCGCUGCACUUAUUUACUAACACAUACAUAUUUCGAUAUAAAGCAAUGUUUUGACGUAUGCAUAUAGAGAAUUGUGAGAAACAUUCCUGUGCACACUUUUUCAGACAGUAAAUUAUUGACAUUUGAAAUUAAUCCUUUUUGGUUAGAUGCAACAGUUAAAUGCAAACAUCAUUUUUGUUCAUAUGCUAGCUUGUCUUCUUCUUCUUAUCAUGAUCAGGAUAUUUUCAUCUCUUUCAAAAUCAUUUCGUCUCCGUGUUGAUUAUGCAUAGCUAUUUACUAUUUGCACACUAGUCUAUGUAACGAAAGUCGAUAGGCGCUUAAACAAUCCGUUCCGCAUUUACAACAGCAAUGUAAAUUUC